rnacentral:rRNA from 1 species
ACGAACGCUGGCGGCGUGCUUAACACAUGCCAGUCGAACGGAAAGGCCCUGCUUUUGUGGGGUGCUCGAGUGGCGAACGGGUGAGUAACACGUGAGUAACCUGCCCUUGACUUUGGGAUAGCUUCAGGAAACUGGGGCUAAUACCGGAUAGGAGCUCCUGCUGCAUGGUGGGGGUUGGAAAGUUUCGGCGGUUGGGGAUGGACUCGCGGCUUAUCAGCUUGUUGGUGGGGUAGUGGCUUACCAAGGCUUUGACGGGUAGCCGGCCUGAGAGGGUGACCGGCCACAUUGGGACUGAGAUACGGCCCAGACUCCUACGGGAGGCAGCAGUGGGGAAUAUUGCACAAUGGGCGGAAGCCUGAUGCAGCAACGCCGCGUGCGGGAUGACGGCCUUCGGGUUGUAAACCGCUUUCGCCUGUGACGAAGCGUGAGUGACGGUAAUGGGUAAAGAAGCACCGGCUAACUACGUG